rnacentral:misc_RNA from 1 species
AGGCUGACCCGGUGCACACGGAGGGCGUGACGUCACAGCGCGCACACUCACUAAGAGGAAAGCAGCAAGCACGCAAAACAACAAGCGGAAAAGACGGUGCCCUUUGAGUCUCAUGAGGGGAGGGACGUGCGCUCGCGUGGCCUUCUGCCUCUUUUCCUUCGCGUGUUGUGUUUCCUCCGUUCUUUCUUUGUGUUGGCGUUGAGGAGUAAUCAUGGGCGCGUCAUCCGCGCUCACAUGCUCUGUCAAAGAAGCCGGCUUCCGUGAGGUCGACGCCGUACGCGACGAGCAUGACAAGGAUAAUUUCUGUUACUCGGCCGGGCCGGCGCUUCUGAGUGGCGCGUCGCAGGCGAUUCUCUUCAACCCGAUCGACCGCGCCCUCUACGUGCGGGUCAAGUUUCGGCGGCAGCGCUUUCUCGAUAAGCGGAAUUUCGAGCGCCCCUUUCAAGGGUUCAUGAACGCUGUGGUGUAUCGCACACUGGUGGGGGCAUCCUACAUUUUCUGGCAGGACAGCAUGCGGAUCUCGAUCGAGCGCUUUGGUCCAGCCGCGUGUCAGUGGGACACGUCGCCGCAGCUGAACUCGAUGCUGAUCGGGCUCGCAGCCGGCUCCAUCAACGGGUUCAGCCUCAACGCGCUACAGGCCGUCAAGUUUCGAAUGUGGAACACGAACGAGCGCGGCGUCACGUUUCUGCGCACGGCCCUCCACAUGUACGGCGAGGGUGGAUGCCUGAUUUUCUUCCGCGGCUGCUUCACGACAAUGGUGCGGGACAGCGUCUUCGGCGUCGUUUACGAGACAUCGCGGCGCGCCUCUGCCUGGAAGCGCUUCUUCGAUGAGAAAGUAGGUGCUCUGUACGCCCUUUUCAGAACGCCGUCGUCGGCAUUGUCAUCGCCACAGCUGCUGGUGGGAGAAAGCGCGCGUGCUACCAAUGCCAGCAGGCGAUCCAGAGCCGAUGUUGGUGCAUCGACUCUGGAAAAGCCCGCAUUCGACGAUCUGAAAGCGAAUGAAACGGUGAGCGUAGGACACGAUGCAGUACUGGCGGGCCCCACACUAGAGUGCGGUGCGUCCGCGUUCAUCUCAAACCUGAUAGCGGCAGUUCUCGCCUCUAUUCUGAGCUCGCCUUUCAACUAUGUUCGCUCCAUCGUGUACGGUACGCCAGCUGGUGCCAUCCCGCUCGGCUACAUCCCGCUGCUAAAGUCGUUCUUCACGCAGUUCUACUACACGUAUAGACAUGGAAAGAGCUACACCGAUCGGCACGGCGUACCGGAGCUGGGCGAGACGGAGCACCCGUGCUCGGCAUCCGCCUCUUCCAGCUCUACGGCUUCGGCUGCAGAGCGCCGUUGGAGGCACGGUGGCAGCUCAUUCACAGGCGCCGAGGUGGCGGACUGCGUACAGGGAACCGCACGCGCAUCGAACUCGCCGGCGUCGCGCCUUGCCGCGCGGCUGCGAACAUGGGCUGAGCUGCAUCACCACCACCCGAAGGCGGCCUGGACAUGGGCUAACAGUCGACUCAACAUUGGCUGGGGGUCCCUUCGUGUCGGGUUUGGGAUGGCAAUGGGGCAAAGCCUCUUCUACCUCGCCCAAGACUACGUCCGCAAAGACGCUAGAUAAGGCCUUCCAUCUCCUGCAGGUUGGACUCCUGCACCUAUGCAGGGCCGUUGCACUGGCGUUCGGCACACACUCAUCACCGCCCUUACCCCUCCCCCCGAAAGCCAGUCGUCGCUUGCUGAGCUGAUGUUUGUGUGUGCGUGUGCGUGUCUUCCCUUUUCUUUUGGAGGAGCGGGUGGUAGGGUUGUUUGGUGCUCUUGUCUUCCUGAAACGAUAGAGCUAUUGAAGGAUGGCGGUGAAGCAGGUGUUGUGUGUUGUAGUAUUCUCUGUGGGGUUACCUACUCAGGACCUCUGUCUCUCUCUCUCUCUCUCGGUGUGUGACGGCAUCUUGCUUUCUUUUUUGUGGAAGCAGGUCAUGUGCCUCUGCGUGUGAGAGCUGGAGAUUUAUAUGCGUGUGUGUGCGUGUGUGCAUCUCACACUUUCCCCCGCCCUCCCCACAUCCACGAAAGACAUAGUGUAGACCUCCGCCAUGGGGACGAGCUCCACCCCUCCUCCCUCUUCGACGGGGUGGUGCUGGCCCACACACUCACAGACACAGGCACGUAGACGUGCAUCCACAGCGCUUGUUUCUUCCUUUCGCCUCCAUCCUGGAUGUGCGGGGCAAGUGCGCGCGACGACCUGCGCCUCCCUCUCGCACACCCUUGUACAUUGGCACAAGUGCACAUGGUGGCUUUUCUUUCUCUCUGAUC